rnacentral:lncRNA from 1 species
GGGGAAAGCGGAACCCGGCCUGAAGAAUGCCCUCAUUGAUGGCAACCUUCCCUGGAGGAGGAUGGGACAUCCUCUCCUCAGGCCCCGGGAGUGUAACAUUGCAGGCCUCGGGAAGGUGGUAUCGAGCCACGAACCUAUCCAGGUCUUCGGCGACCAACUCCGACUUAAUGCGGUCUGCUCUCACUUCGCCCAUCCCUAAUGGCCAGUGAAUCUACGGUCAGGACAGGGACAAAAAGGGGGAAAGGACCGGAACGACUGGAGUACACUAAUACAAAAGGAGAGUAUGGAGAGCCCUAAAUUAAAGAAUGGGGCAACUCACCGGAAGAGAAGGAAGAACGGCUCCGAGAGCGUCAAAGGAGGAGCAAGCGAACAGUCCGACGGCGAUGACGGCAGCGCAAAGGAGAAACUCGAAGAUGUCUGUAAAGAGAAAGGCGGACGGAGGAGGACCCCCGGUUAAAUAGGCGGAAAGGUGGGUGACGCCUCGGGGACGCCAGAGGACGCCUGGCUGCCGAA